AAUAAGUGCAGUUUUACACUAUUCACGUUCAACGUUUGACCGUUCGUGUUAUUUAAUUUUUUUUAUAAUUAGUAUUUUUAUUGCUAUUAGAUGAUAAAACAUGAAUUGUACUUUACGUGUGACUAAAUAUUUUCAAAUUUUUCAAAUAAGGCGGACGGUCAAACGUUGGGCACGAAUAUCCACGUCUGCACUUAUU
rfam:Oryza meridionalis cultivar OR44 (W2112) chromosome 3, whole genome shotgun sequence.